rnacentral:rRNA from 1 species
GACGAACGCUGGCGGCGUGCUUAACACAUGCAAGUCGAACGGAAAGGCCCUGCUUUUGUGGGGUGCUCGAGUGGCGAACGGAUGAGUAACACGUGAGUAACCUGCCCUUGACUUUUGUAUAACUUCAGGAAACUGGGGCUAAUACCGGAUAGGAGCUCCUGCUGCAUUGUGGGGGUUGGAAAGUUUCGGCGGUUGGGGAUGGACUCGCGGCUUAUCAGCUUGUUGGUGGGGUAGUGGCUUACCAAGGCUUUGACGGGUAGCCGGCCUGAGAGGGUGACCGGCCACAUUGGGACUGAGAUACGGCCCAGACUCCUACGGGAGGCAGCAGUGGGGAAUAUUGCACAAUGGGCGGAAGCCUGAUGCAGCAACGCCGCGUGCGGGAUGACGGCCUUCGGGUUGUAAACCGCUUUCGCCUGUGACGAAGCGUGAGUGACGGUAAUGGGUAAAGAAGCACCGGCUAACUACGUG